rnacentral:rRNA from 1 species
GAUGAACGCUGGCGGCGUGCUUAACACAUGCAAGUCGAACGGUGAAGGGGAGCUUGCUUCCUGGAUCAGUGGCGAACGGGUGAGUAACACGUGAGCAACCUGCCCCGGACUCUGGGAUAAGCGCUGGAAACGGCGUCUAAUACUGGAUACGAGACACCUCUGCAUGGGGAGUGUUUGGAAAGAUUUUUCGGUCUGGGAUGGGCUCGCGGCCUAUCAGCUUGUUGGUGAGGUAAUGGCUCACCAAGGCGUCGACGGGUAGCCGGCCUGAGAGGGUGACCGGCCACACUGGGACUGGGACACGGCCCAGACUCCUACGGGAGGCAGCAGUGGGGAAUAUUGCACAAUGGGCGGAAGCCUGAUGCAGCAACGCCGCGUGAGGGACGACGGCCUUCGGGUUGUAAACCUCUUUUAGCAAGGAAGAAGCGAGAGUGACGGUACUUGCAGAAAAAGCGCCGGCUAACUACGUGCCAGCCGCCGCAGUAAGAC